AGAAUCUUGACAUCUUUAGUUCUUUGACAACCUUGAGUCCUCAAGGUUCACAUCCAUCUGUUGGUUGGCCAAAUAUAGAUUUGAGAGAUUCUUCUUUCUUCUCUAACUGAGUACUUCGUAGCACAUGUGGCCUUUUCAUCUUUCAGUCUGAUGGAUGCUUGACUAUUUGAUGUUGAUGCCUUUUGAGCUCCCAUAUCUGCUAUUCAGACUACAUGAUUGAUUGUGGACACGGAUUGGUCUUGUUGCUACAGCAUUUAAGAACAUGGACCAAUCUGAGCAGCUUCAGGUGUAUAUACACAUUUACCUG
rnacentral:lncRNA from 1 species